rnacentral:rRNA from 1 species
UAGAGUUUGAUCCUGGCUCAGAGUGAACGCUGGCGGCGUGCUUAACACAUGCAAGUCGAACGAGAACGGGUUAUAGCUUGCUAUAACUGUCAGCUAAGUGGCGCACGGGUGAGUAAUAUAUAGGUAAUGUGCCUUAGAGAAGAGAAUAAUUGUUGGAAACGACUUGUAAUGCUCUAUAUGCCCUUAAUACAAAAGUAUGCAGGGGAAAUAUUUAUAGCUCUAAGAUCGGCCUGUACGGUAUCAGCUUGUUGGUGAGGUAAUGGCCUACCAAGGCAACGAUGGUUAGCGGGUCUGAGAGGAUGAUCCGCCACACUGGAACUGGAACACGGACCAGACUCCUACGGGAGGCAGCAGUGAGGAAUAUUGCGCAAUGGGGGAAACCCUGACGCAGCGACGCCGCGUGGAUGAUGAAGGCCUUAGGGUCGUAAAAUCCUGUCAGGUGGGAAGAAAUGUAUGGGAGAAUAAUACCUCUUAUGCUUGACGGUACCACCAGAGGAAGCACCGGCUAACUCCGUGCCAGCAGCCGCGGUAAUACGGAGGGUGCAAACGUUGUUCGGAAUUACUGGGCGUAAAGCGCGCGUAGGCGGUUUGUUAAGUCAGAUGUGAAAGCCCAAGGCUCAACCUUGGACGUGCAUUUGAAACUGGCAGACUUGAGUACUGGAGGGGAUGGGUGGAAUUCCCGGUGUAGAGGUGAAUUCGUAGAUAUCGGAGGAAUACCGGUGGCGAAGGCGACCAUCUGGCCAGAUACUGACGCUGAGGUGCGAAAGCGUGGGGAGCAAACAGGAUUAGAUACCCUGGUAGUCCACGCCCUAAACGAUGAACACUAGUUGUCGGAAAGCUCGACUUUUCGGUAAUGCACCUAACGGAUUAAGUGUUCCGCCUGGGGAGUACGGUCGCAAGAUUAAAACUCAAAGGAAUAGACGGGGACCCGCACAAGUGGUGGAGCAUGUGGUUUAAUUCGAAGAUACGCGAAGAACCUUACCUGGACUUGACAUCCCUAGAAUCUUUCAGAGAUGAGAGAGUGCUUGCUUGCAAGAAUUAGGUGACAGGUGCUGCACGGCUGUCGUCAGCUCGUGUCGUGAGAUGUUGGGUUAAGUCCCGCAACGAGCGCAACCCUCGUCAUUAGUUGCCAGCAAUUCGGUUGGGCACUCUAGUGAGACUGCCUUCGUAAGGAGGAGGAAGGUGAGGACGACGUCAAGUCAUCAUGGCCCUUAUGUCCAGGGCGACACACGUGCUACAAUGGGAAGGACAGAGUGUUGCAAUACCGCGAGGUGGAGCUAAUCACAAAACCUUUUCUCAGUUCGGAUUGUAGUCUGCAACUCGACUACAUGAAGUUGGAAUCACUAGUAAUCGUGGAUCAGCCAUGCCACGGUGAAUACGUUCCCCGGUCUUGUACUCACCGCCCGUCACACCAUGGGAAUUGGUUUCACUCGAAGAGAGGAUGCUAACCUUCGGGAAGCUACUNUCCACAGUGGGGUCAGUAAUCUGGGGUGAAGUCGUAACAAGGUAACCA